UACGUAGGGAGCAAGCGUUGUCCGGAAUCAUUGGGCGUAAAGGGCGCGUAGGCGGCUUCUCAAGCGUGCGGUGAAAGUCAGGGGCUCAACCCCUGAUCGGCCGUGCGGACUGGUUUGCUAGAGCACUGUAGAGGCGAGUGGAAUUCCGGGUGUAGCGGUGGAAUGCGUAGAGAUCCGGAAGAACACCGGUGGCGAAGGCGGCUCGCUGGGCAGUGGCUGACGCUGAGGCGCGACAGCGUGGGGAGCAAACAGG
rnacentral:rRNA from 1 species